rnacentral:rRNA from 1 species
AGCGAACGUUAGCGGCGGGCCUAACACAUGCAAGUCGAACGAGAAAGUCCUUCGGGAUGAGUACAGUGGCGCACGGGUGAGGAACGCGUAGGUAAUCUACCCUCUGGCGGGGGACAACACUCCGAAAGGAAUGCUAAUACCGCAUGAGACCACAGCUACCACGGUAGCAGCGGUCAAAGGUGGCCUCUUCUUGAAAGCUACCACCAGAGGAUGAGCCUGCGUCCCAUCAGCUAGUUGGUGAGGUAAUGGCUUACCAAGGCGAAGACGGGUAGCUGGUCUGAGAGGAUGAUCAGCCACACUGGCACUGAAACACGGGCCAGACUCCUACGGGAGGCAGCAGUGAGGAAUAUUGGGCAAUGGGCGCAAGCCUGACCCAGCCACGCCGCGUGAGUGAUGAAGGCCUUCGGGUCGUAAAGCUCUGUGGGGAGGGACGAAAAAUCUCCGUUCGAAUAGGGCGGAGACUUGACGGUACCUCCUUAGCAAGCACCGGCUAACUCUGUGCCAGCAGCCGCGGUAA